GGGUCAGUAGGUUGGUCGUGCCACCGGUACGUACUGGUCUCACUGAUUCCUCCUUCCUGAAGAACCGUAAUGCCACUAAUUUGGUGUUGCGGGGAAACAGGACUGUUACUUUGAAAAAAUUAGAGUGUUUAAAGCAAGCUAACGCUUGAAUACAUUAGCAUGGAAUAAUGAAAUAGGACGAUCGAUCCUAUUUUGUUGGUUCCUAGGAUUGACGUA
rnacentral:rRNA from 1 species